AUUAAAAAUUGUAAUUAUUGCUGCAUUCAUGACAUGUCGGAACUAGGAAACUCUGACAUUUUUUGACUUGGAAACUCGUUUCUCGGAAUACGACUUUCCCGAAGUGGAUCCUUUGUUCGCACCACCCAGGACGUUGGAUCUAACCCCAGAGGCCGACCCAAAACAACGUCGCCACAGAAGAGGUAGACAGAGUGGCCUCCUGGUCAGGCUCCGUAGACGUGCACAUCACCCACCGCUUCCGAGUAUAUUACUCGCCAAUGACCAGUCUCUAGACGACAAGGUAGAUGGAAGGACACCUACACCACCCGAUGUCACAGGAAGGCCAAAAAUAUCAUCAAGGACAACAACCACCCGAGCCACUGCCUGUUCACCCCGCUAUCAUCCAGAAGGCGAGGGUGUCCCGGUACCCAGGGAAGACUGGUACUGGCCUAAACUGGUUGUUGAGGAGGAGGAGGGGGAGGAAGAGGAAGACAAGGUGGUGAAGGAGGAGGAGGAAGAAGACAAGGUGGAGGAGGAGGAUGAGUUAACUUCACUGGACAAGCUACACAUUCUGACAUCCUAUUUAAGAGGGGUCCAUUUUUACUGCAUAUGGUGUGGGACCGCUUACAAUGAUGAGGAGGAUCUGUGUUCUAAUUGUCCUGGAGACACAGCUGCAGAUCACGAUGACUGACCCGCUGCUGAAUAAUCUACAGAAGAGACUGGAGGCAUCGGCCAGUCGGAUUCAUUAACAUAUGGGGGAUUAUAAAUGGGAUCAGAGGCUGUAUGUAUGAAGCGUUUCUGUAGGAGUACGUGAUUUGGAUUUUUCUCUUUAGAUCACAAUGAAUACGGUUACAUGAACAGGGGGGGGGGGGGGGGCUGAUCCUAGAUCAACACUCCUAUUCUGAGCCGGUUGAUACAUAUAACAUCUGCCCCUGUAUGAUAUAUAGGUGAGGUUUGACCUAUAACGUGUGAAUUUGUAUUAUUUAUAAUGUAGACAGGACAUUUGAUGUAUUUUCUUCCUGAACAUGUUUUUGUUUUGUUUUUUUGUUUAAUAAAUGAAAACCACUUUUUUUUAUAUGAUUCAGAAACCAUGAAUUAAAAGGUUAUUUAGAUUAUAA